AUUGAACGCUGGCGGCAGGCCUAACACAUGCAAGUCGAGCGGAUGACGGGAGCUUGCUCCUUGAUUCAGCGGCGGACGGGUAAGUAAUGCCUAGGAAUCUGCCUGGUAGUGGGGGACAACGUUUCGAAAGGAACGCUAAUACCGCAUACGUCCUACGGGAGAGAGCAGGGGACCUUCGGGCCUUGCGCUAUCAGAUGAGCCUAGGUCGGAUUAGCUAGUUGGUGGGGUAAUGGCUCACCAAGGCGACGAUCCGUAACUGGUCUGAGAGGAUGAGCAGUCACACUGGAACUGAGACACGGUCCAGACUCCUACGGGAGGCAGCAGUGGGGAAUAUUGGACAAUGGGCGAAAGCCUGAUCCAGCCAUGCCGCGUGUGUGAAGAAGGUCUUCGGAUUGUAAAGCACUUUAAGUUGGGAGGAAGGGCAGUAAGCUAAUACCUUGCUGUUUUGACGUUACCGACAGAAUAAGCACCGGCUAACUCUGUGCCAGCCGCCGCCGUAA
rnacentral:rRNA from 1 species